ACGCUCGACACCUACGGGAGGCAGCAGGUGGGGAAUAUUGCACAAUGGGGGAAACCCUGAUGCAGCGACGCCGCGUGAGCGAAGAAGUAUUUCGGUAUGUAAAGCUCUAUCAGCAGGGAAGAAGAAAGACGGUACCUGACUAAGAAGCCCCGGCUAACUACGUGUCAGCAGCCGCGGUAAUCUGAGCGGGCUGGCAAGGC
rnacentral:rRNA from 1 species